UGACUACUCAUGUGUUGUCAUAGUGACAGC
rnacentral:piRNA from 1 species